rnacentral:rRNA from 1 species
GCCCUUAGAGUUUGAUCCUGGCUCAGGAUGAACGCUAGCGGCAGGCUUAACACAUGUAAGUCGAGGGGUAACAGGAUUUAGUUUACUAGAUUGCUGACGACCGGCGCACGGGUGAGUAACGCGUAUACAAUUUGCCUUUUACUGAAGAAUAGCCCAGAGAAAUUUGGAUUAAUGCUUCAUAGUAUUAUUUGGUCACCUGGCCGAGUAAUUAAAGCUCCGGCGGUAAAAGAUGAGUAUGCGUCCUAUUAGCUAGAUGGUAAGGUAACGGCUUACCAUGGCGACGAUAGGUAGGGGUCCUGAGAGGGAGAUCCCCCACACUGGUACUGAGACACGGACCAGACUCCUACGGGAGGCAGCAGUGAGGAAUAUUGGGCAAUGGAGGCAACUCUGACCCAGCCAUGCCGCGUGCAGGAAGACUGCCCUAUGGGUUGUAAACUGCUUUUAUACAGGAAGAAACUUAUCCCCGUGUGGCUAACUGACGGUACUGUAAGAAUAAGGACCGGCUAAAAAUAACCAACAGCCACGGUAAUAAGGGCG